UGGCUUCUUUACUUCCUCUAGGUCUGGACAUGAACCUUCUCAUUGAGACCUCCCCCAACUCACUGACAUGGAAAUGUAACCCACCACCAGACCUCAUUCCAGCUGGGCCCCCGCUACUCCUUAUCCCUGCUUCCUUUUUCUUUAAAGCAGGCCUUCUUUCAAAAGGACUCAACUGAUUAAGUCAGGUCCGUUCACACUCAAGAACGGAUUAUAUAGGGUGUACACACCAGGGGAUGGGAAUCUGAGAGGCCAUCUUACAGUUCCAACUACCACAGCAUUCCUGGGAGGAUUCCACUUGGAAGAAGUCUAUUACUUGGCCCAAAAUUAUCAUACACAUUCAAAGAAGAAUCAACCUUUUCAGAUUCACAUUGGCCGAACCUUUUGAUCUCAAGGGAUCUCUGUGAUGGCGGCAAUAAAGGGAUGCUUUGGAUAAUCAAUCACUCAGCGAUAGCCGAUGGCUGACUCAAUUUCUAGCAUCUCAUCUUAAAAUAAAGAUUUCAUUUCACUGUCCAUACUUCAGAAAAGGCCCAAAGUACCGCGGUUCAUUACAAACCUAUGUAUUGUGUGUUCCGGUUAAGAAAAUCAUUUUGGAGAAAAAGGACACGUAACAGACCGUUUGGCUCCAUUCCUCCAUUCGUAGAUGAGAAAAUGAAGGGCCACAGCAGGAAAUUUACUUGCACAGGACAAAUCAUGACUUAAUUGUAGCCCACUAAGAUCUUGUGUCAUCUCGUUUUGAUUAUUAUAAAUUAUUAACAAAUUGAAACUGA